rnacentral:rRNA from 1 species
UGCGUAGGCGUCCAGGAAAGUUAUUUGUUAAAGCCUCCGGCUUAACCGGAGAGAUGCAAGUAAAACUAUCUGGAUAGAGUUUAAGAGAGGAAAAUGGAAUUCCUGGUGUAGCGGUGACAUGCGUAGAUAUCAGGAGGAACAUCAAUGGCGAAGGCAGUUUUCUGGCUUAAAACUGACGCUGAGGCACGAAAGCGUGGGGAGCAAACAGGAUUAGAUACCCUGGUAGUCCC